GAUAACUGAAAACCAAGUCACAGAGAGCGUGUGUGCAUGCGGAUAAGGAAAACCCAUGAAGCAAUAUAUGAAACGCCCUAGUUGUAAUUGGCCGAAUUUAGUUUAAAAGCCUCCAGUUUGGCACUGCAACUCACUCAAUUCCGGGGCCUAACGGAGAAACACCAUGCGGAGAGACAAUCCACAUGGACCCCACUCGGAGGUGACAAGCCUGGACCACCGGGGUUCACUUCCAGCGUAUCUGAAAGCAGGAAAGAGAGUUGCCACUGAGCCAGGCUACGCCAGCCGGACUGGAAGGAAGGUUGGAGUGCCAUGAGAAAAAUCUUAUGCUACCUACAAAGAGGCAGCAUAAUUCCAGCUGCUGAAUGCCACGUGACCUAAUUUCAGAUUGACUCAUUGACCUCACUAUUUACCAAUAGCACCCAUGGUUGCUAGCAGAUAUGGUGCUUAGGGGGUUAUGAAUAUCUUCUUCAA